rnacentral:rRNA from 1 species
GACGAACGCUGGCGGCGUGCCUAAUACAUGCAAGUAGAACGCUGAAGGAGGAGCUUGCUCUUCUGGAUGAGUUGCGAACGGGUGAGUAACGCGUAGGUAACCUACCUGGUAGCGGGGGAUAACUAUUGGAAACGAUAGCUAAUACCGCAUAAGAGUAGAUGUCGCAUGACAUUUGCUUAAAAGGUGCAAUUGCAUCACUACAAGAUGGACCUGUGUUGUAUUAGCUAGUUGGUGAGGUAACGGCUCACCAAGGCAACGAUACAUAGCCGACCUGAGAGGGUGAUCGGCCACACUGGGACUGAGACACGGCCCAGACUCCUACGGGAGGCAGCAGUAGGGAAUCUUCGGCAAUGGACGGAAGUCUGACCGAGCAACGCCGCGUGAGUGAAGAAGGUUUUCGGAUCGUAAAGCUCUGUUGUAAGAGAAGAACGAGUGUGAGAGUGGAAAGUUCACACUGUGACGGUAUCUUACCAGAAAGG